rnacentral:lncRNA from 1 species
AGAACUGGGGAUGAAAUCUAGAAGUAGUACUAAACCUCAACUAGACUACAUUUUUUAAAAAUGGCUUAAAGAAAGGAAGACCAUUGGAACAGAUUAAGCAUACAAUAUUCAGAAAGAAAUUGGCACAGUAGCAUAGUAUUUGAUAAAUCCAAAGAUCCCAGUUGUUAUAAUGAAAACUCAUAACUUCUGGAAAAAGUGAAAAGCAGGUUGGCAGAAACAUCUCACACUAUGUUCUGAGCUAAGUUCCAAAUGGGUACAUAACUUAGUGAUAUCAAAAAAAUUACUUUUCAAAUAAUAAGAGAAAAAAUCCAAGACCAAAGGAUAGAGAAUGACUAAACAGUUUUGAUUAUAUGAAAUUUAAAAAAUUUUGCACAAAUAAAGCCAAUGCAGAAAAAAAUCUUUGAUAAAUAUUUCAGAAUUGUAGGGCACUGAUUGAAAUUUAUAAGAACAAAAGUCUUCACCAAAUAAUCAAAGAAAUAGGAACAGGUAGUUGGGAGGAGAAGUUCCAAAUUACUUAAUGAUUAGAGAACUGUAAAUUAAAGCAACUCUGAAGUUCUACUUUAUGCCUGUCAAAUUAGCAGAGUUGACAUAAUGAAAUGAUUAUUGGACAGGCAGUUCAAAAAAGGUACAUUGAACUACAUCAACUGCUCCUCCCAUGCUUGGAAGACAAUUUGGAACUGUAACUCCAAAUUUAGUAAGCUGCAUACACUUAGACCCAAUGAUACCACUUACAGAUUUAUGUUCCAAGGAAUCUAAAGAAAAUCUAUGUAUCUAAAAACUUUAACUUUAGGAGCUUUUUCUUUGAGUGACAAAGAACAGUUGAAAACUAAGGAAGUAUGAGUAAUCGCUGAACAAAUUAUAAUGAAUAUAAUGGAGACUAUUCUGUUAGAAAAGAUGAAAGUAAUGGUUUCAGAGAAACCCAUGAAGACCUGUAUGAACUGAUGCAUCUGAAAACAACCAAAACUAUAUAGGAAUAGCAUUGAAUAACAUUGCAACAGGCAAAUUUAGUAGUACAGAUCAGUACAAUGAUCAAUCAUGAUUUCAGACAACCCACGGUGAAACAUGCUACCCAUCUCCUAGAGAUGAUGGACUCGGAGUGCAGAUUGAGAUACACAUUUAUUGGACAUGAUCAAAGCAAGACUUUCUUUUAUUUGCGUGGGCAUAUUUGUUAACAAGGAUUUUGUUUUUCUUUUCUGGUGGUGCAAUGGGGAAUUAAUGUGUUGAGUUAGUAAAAUAAAUGUUCGGAAUGUGAUGAAUUUGCGAAAUACUUGAAAAAACAAGUUGUAUAUAAUAGAGAUUCACGAUUUCAUAUAUUGUUCCUUAUAUAUGGAAAUGUUUAUGUUGGGGGAGGGGGGAGGAUACAUCUAUGCAAUGUAAUGAGAU